AUACACUUUCGUGCCUACUACUAUUUCAAUCAUUUUGGCUGGUCGAUAUAGCGACAUCGUGGAUCCUCAAGAGAAAUUUGAGAGGAUUAUGAGAGGGACUCAAGGAGCUCUUAUUGUUGCUUCAACUCUUCAAAUUGUGCUUGGUUUUAGUGGACUUUGGCGUAAUAUCACACGAUUCAUGAGUCCAUUAUCUGCAGUUUCAUUGGUGGCUCUAACCGG